UCAACCUACGGAGGCAGCAGUGGGGAAUAUUGCACAAUGGGGGGAACCCUGGUGCAGCAAUGCCGCGUGAAGGAUGAAGGUUUUCGGAUUGUAAACUUCUUUUGUACGGGACGAAGAAAGUGACGGUACCGUAAGAAUAAGCCACGGCUAACUACGUGCCAGCAGCCGCGGUAAUACGUAGGUGGCAAGCGUUAUCCGGAUUUACUGGGUGUAAAGGGAGCGUAGGCGGUUUAGCAAGUCAGAAGUGAAAGCCCGGGGCUCAACUCCGGGACGGCUUUUGAAACUGUUGAACUAGAUUGCAGGAG
rnacentral:rRNA from 1 species